UGGGGAAUAUUGCACAAUGGGCGCAAGCCUGAUGCAGCCAUGCCGCGUGUGUGAAGAAGGCCUUCGGGUUGUAAAGCACUUUCAGCGGGGAGGAAGGGAGUAAAGUUAAUACCUUUGCUCAUUGACGUUACCCGCAGAAGAAGCACCGGCUAACUCCGUGCCAGCAGCCGCGGUAAUACGGAGGGUGCAAGCGUUAAUCGGAAUUAAUGGGCGUAAAGCGCACGCAGGCGGUUUGUUAAGUCAGAUGUGAAAUCCUCGGGCUCAACCUGGGAACUGCAUCUGAUACUGGCAAGCUUGAGUCUCGUAGAGGGGGGUAGAAUUCCAGGUGUAGCGGUGAAAUGCGUAGAGAUCUGGAGGAAUACCGGUGGCGAAGGCGGCCCCCUGGACGAAGACUGACGCUCAGGUGCGAAAGCGUGGGGAGCAAACAGG
rnacentral:rRNA from 1 species